GACGAACGCUGGCGGCGUGCCUAAUACAUGCAAGUAGAACGCUGAAGGAGGAGCUUGCUUCUCUGGAUGAGUUGCGAACGGGUGAGUAACGCGUAGGUAACCUGCCUGGUAGCGGGGGAUAACUAUUGGAAACGAUAGCUAAUACCGCAUAAUAGCAGUUAUUGCAUGAUAACUGUUUGAAAGGUGCAAUUGCACCACUACCAGAUGGACCUGCGUUGUAUUAGCUAGUUGGUGGGGUAACGGCUCACCAAGGCGACGAUACAUAGCCGACCUGAGAGGGUGAUCGGCCACACUGGGACUGAGACACGGCCCAGACUCCUACGGGAGGCAGCAGUAGGGAAUCUUCGGCAAUGGACGGAAGUCUGACCGAGCAACGCCGCGUGAGUGAAGAAGGUUUUCGGAUCGUAAAGCUCUGUCGUAAGAGAAGAACGAGUGUGAGAGUGGAAAGUUCACACUGUGACGGUAUCUUACCAGAAAGGGACGGCUAACUACGUGCCAGCAGCCGCGGUAAUACGUAGGUCCCGAGCGUUGUCCGGAUUUAUUGGGCGUAAAGCGAGCGCAAGCGGUUAGAUAAGUCUGAAGUUAAAGGCUGUGGCUUAACCAUAGUACGCUUUGGAAACUGUUUAACUUGAGUGCAAGAGGGGAGAGUGGAAUUCCAUGUGUAGCGGUGAAAUGCGUAGAUAUAUGGAGGAACACCGGUGGCGAAAGCGGCUCUCUGGCUUGUAACUGACGCUGAGGCUCGAAAGCGUGGGGAGCAAACAGG
rnacentral:rRNA from 1 species